rnacentral:rRNA from 1 species
ACGGGAGGCAGCAGUGGGGAAUAUUGGUCAAUGGUCGGGAGACUGAACCAGCCAAGUAGCGUGAAGGAUGACAGCCCUAUGGGUUUUAAACUUCUUUUGUUAGGGAAUAAAGGGGUUCACGUGUGGACCUUUGCAUGUACCUUUCGAAUAAGCAUCGGCUAAUUCCGUGCCAGCAGCCGCGGUAAUACGGAAGAUGCAAGCGUUAUCCGGAUUUAUUGGGUUUAAAGGGAGCGUAGGCGGAUGGUUAAGUCUGCGGUAAAAUGUCAUGGCCCAACCUUGGCAUGCCGUGGAUACUGGCCGUCUUGAGUGCACACAAGGAAGGUGGAAUUCGUCGUGUAGCGGUGAAAUGCUUAGAUAUGACGAAGAACUCCGAUUGCGAAGGCAGCCUUCUGGGGUGUAACUGACGCUGAGGCUCGAAAGUGCGGGAAUCAAACAGGAUUAGAUACCCUGGUA